rnacentral:tRNA from 1 species
GGAAAUGUGCCUGAACAAAGGGCUAUUUUGAUAGAAUAGAUUACAGGAAUAACACCUCCUCAUUUCCC